rnacentral:rRNA from 1 species
AGUGAACGCUGGCGGUAGGCCUAACACAUGCAAGUCGAACGGCAGCACAGUAAGAGCUUGCUCUUACGGGUGGCGAGUGGCGGACGGGUGAGGAAUACACCGGAAUCUACUUUUUCGUGGGGGAUAACGUAGGGAAACUUACGCUAAUACCGCAUACGACCUACGGGUGAAAGCAGGGGAUCUUCGGACCUUGCGCGAUUGAAUGAGCCGAUGUCGGAUUAGCUAGUUUGCGGGGUAAAGGCCCACCACGGCGACGAUCCGUAGCUGGUCUGAGAGGAUGAUCAGCCACACUGGCACUGAGACACGGUCCAGACUCCUACGGGAGGCAGCAGUGGGGAAUAUUAGGCAAGGGGGGCAAGCCUGAUCCAGCCAUACCGCGUGGGUGAAGAAGGCCUUCGGGUUGUAAAGCCCUUUUGUUGGGAAAGAAAAGCAGCAGGUUAAUCCCCCGCUGUUCUGACGGUACCCAAAGAAUAAGCACCGGCUAACUUCGUG